AGUAUUCUUUAACAUAAUAUAGUAUCAUAAAAUAAUAAAUUAGCCUUCUGAGAACAUGGAGUCAGAUUCAUCAUUCCUUCCUUCUUUGGGACAUUCCCAGCAAUGAGAAAUACAAAUAAUAAAAUAGAAUUGAGGAAUACAAAAAAUACAAUAUAGCUCACUGCCAAAACUCCCAUGCUGGCUCUGUGGGGCGUGUCAGGGACACUUUAACACCAAGGGAGUCAAAUUUGUAUCCUGGCAGCGUGCACCAAGCUGAGGGGAUGCUUCUCUGUGCAGGAUGGAGGUGACUGCAUCAAACUCCUGGCUCAGCACCUGUUCCUGAUGGGAUGAUCAGCACACACAGGUUUCUGUGAGGUCAAAGGACAGCAUCUAUAGAUUGCUGCCAUGACAGGGAACGUUUUGCAAGCUAAUGGCUCAGCCAACGCUGCUGAGAGGUGACAAGGCACGAGGCACAGAGUGCUCAUUAAUCCAGCACUGUCCUUGUGGGAAUUCAGUGCCAAGGAGCUCAAAGACCGGGUUCAUCUUGAAGGAGAGAUGUUUUUCUCUUGCUGUAGCACUUUGUUCUGAGGUUUUGUAAUGCGUGAGGAAUAACAAGGAUGAAAAUCAAACUGGACUUGUCAAAGAAUUUUCAGGUGCUAUUUCACUUUUUGCUGAGGGACAGGAGCAUAUUUCUGUCUGUUCAUGCCAGAUUAAAGCUCCCUGGGUCAGUUGUAGAAGAGUGCCAGGAAAUUAGCCAGCUGAAUGGAGGAUGGCACAGUGAAGUGUCCACAACAGCAAGAAAAUUAAAAGCAAUCUGUGGCAGUUGAAAAUACUGCACUUCCAUAAAGCUCAAAAUGCAGCAGGAAAGGUGGUUUCUGUCCAUCAGGUGCAGAGCUGCAGCCACCGCUGCCCCAGCAGCCCCACAAGACAGGAGCAUGCCCAGCUCCAGGGCACCCUUUGCCUUUGGAUCUCUGGCUGCAGGGAAUGCAAACUCUGCUUGUGUUAACCCUGGCGAUUUAAGAGGCUCCAGUGCCAUAAUUCCUGUCUCUGGGAUUACAGAAGGAGAACAAGCCCAACAAGAAAGACAGGAGAGUUAAGCAGCUGCAUAAUUCCACGACCAUGGAAACUGCUGUGGCUACAAUUUUUGAGCACACAAAAAGGAGGAGAGAAUCUUCUAGCAGGAUCAAAUGAAAGCCUGCAUGAACAAGAAGGCACAGGGAGAAAAUGUAUCCCACAAGCAAGAAAUAAGAUCAGAAAUUUAUAACUCCACAUACAAAUAAAUAUGAAGAAGAAGCUCAUAACUCCUGGAGGAGCAGAACGUAUUGCAAGCCACAGGAGCAUCACUGAGCCCGGCACCUGGACCAAAAGUUGCUCACAAAAUCUUUACAUGAGCUCCCAUAUUUUAUCUCCUCACCUAAAUUGCCUAUCUUGUGCAUCUCUUGUGCUAACUGAAGGCCCAAUUUGGCCAUUUGGGGCACCCACCCUAGGGAAGCCAAAGCUGAUUCCAAGUACAGCCACCAAGGGCAGUUCAGCUUUUUCUGGACUUCCAGAUUGCCUUGCUUUAAGCUGAAGGGUGAUAAGUCUUGUGUUUCCCCAAAGGGAAAGGCCAACAGCUGUGGUUACUCAAGAAUUUUCAAGAGCUGGAAAGAAAGGAACUGUUGGAGGGAGGCUUUUUUUUGGGUGGUGGAGUUGUUUGACAGAGAGAAAAGGAAAAAGGAAUGGAGCAGUCCACACCCAGGAAUUGUUCACAGGUUUGUUUUUAUUUUAAGUAAAAUAUUCUCAGAAAACUAUCUCAGAGUUCUUGUCUCUGGUUUUCACUUUCCUACUCUAUUUUCACUGGCAAUUAACUAAAUUAAUUAUCCUUAUUUAUCCUGGUAGCUGGUAUGUGGUGUCCCUGUCUGUAUGUCAACCCAUGAGCUUUUUCAUCUCACUCUCACAUCCUGUUGAGGAGGGGAACAGUGAGAGUGGUCAGCAAAGGUCCAACAGCCACAACGCUAAAACAUCCCCAAAUUUAGAAUGAGAAUUUAACAUGGACUGUUUAAGAGAGCCACAAAUUUCCUGGCUUUCCUAAUCCUUCUUGGGGUUUUUUUAAUAGGUUCUUACCUAGAAAAAAUUUUAGUUCCUCUAAUUUCUGUUUUCUUAUGUUGUAUUUUAACAACCUGUAUCAAGUUGCCUGGUUCUCAGACAAUAUAACCACAAAACAUCCCUGCUGUGCUCAACUUUUUAUUUCUGUUGUCAUUUAUUUGUGUCAUUUUCCUGGUACAGUCUGCUACAGUUUUAAAUUCACAUGUUACUAAUCUCUAUUACCUGCCGUGAUACCAGGAAUUAAAAUACACAAUAGUAGGAAUGCAUAAUAAAAAUUAAUAUUUUGGUUUUGUAUAGAAAAUUAUUUUUAAACUCAGAUUUUAUAAAGGAUGUAUUACUUAAGUGCAUUAUAAUUUCUAAUUGUGAAAGACAAAUGACUCAGCAGGUAUUAAUAAAAUAUUACUAGAGCACACACCACUCACAGAAAAAAGACCCACAAAAAACUAUGUAAGCUUGUAAAACAACCUUACUAUUUAAAAGAAUAAGAAGUUUGCAUUCUAAUACAUGACUUCUCCUGCUCAGUACAAGGAACUGCUCUGUUCCUGUGAACUGCUACUUGAAAUAAUAAUAUUUUACAGGCUGUUUUUGUGAAGAGGUUUGUAAAAACAACAAUACCUGCUGGUGAUUUAGUAAAGGCAAAGAGCUCUUAGGAAAUAAGGGUAGUAUUUUCAGCUGGAAGUUAUUAAAAAGGUGCAUUAGAGGGUAAAAAAGAAAAGUAUUAUACCUGUGGAAGUGUUGCUAAAUAACCACUUUUUAUUGUGUUCUGUGAGCUAUUAGCCUUCAGAAAGCUCAGCACAAUAACAUCUAGAGACAAUACAGUAAAGAAAAUACAGCAGUAAAGAAAUCCUUUUGUGUAUACAUCACCUCUGCAAAUACCAGCCAAGGAGCCACAAGGUCUAAAGGGAAGCUUUGUAAUUUCUCACUGCUUAAGCUGUAAAUAAUUGCUUUCUGUAUGCUGAAAUGUUUACUACAGGCAUUAAAUGUCAGCAUCUCCACUGACCUUGUAUCCUUGCUGUCAGGGUUGCACAGAGUUUUGCUGCAGGGGAAAUAAGGCAACAAACAGAAAAUCUGAUCUAGAGCAUUUUUUUUCAAGCUAUUUGUUUUCUGUGAGGUCCAAUUUAUCAAUUUUUUAGUCAAUCACACAUGUGGGCAUGCAAUUAAAGUAUAAAGAUACAGUUUAGUGGCCCUGAUGCUGUACUUGAUCAUGGCACACGCACAAAAAAAAUUGAGCAAAGCACUUUAGCAAGUGCAACUACUCAUUAAAUUGAUAGUUCCUAUCAUUUUCAAGGCACAAGCUGCACAAAAUUUAUCUCAAUCACUGAAACAGCCUAGAAAGCAUGAAACUCCACUGUCCCAGGAAAAGGCAAAUUCAUGCUUAGCCUUACUUUUAAGUUCCAAGUUCAGAAUUCUCCAGCUUGUACAUGGGCUAUAGGGAAUUUUGGGAAAAGGUGAUUCUGGGAAUAGGAAAUUCUUGGCAAAGAGAAGGUCCUGAAAAUUAUUAAACUUGUGGCUGUGAAUGUCUUUCUAUCCACCACUAUGGACAAAAGCUAGGGAACCUAAAAACUAGCAACUAGGUUAAAAUAAAUAAUUCUCAAUGAUCAUAACCUAUCUACUUCAAGGUCAGAGCAAAUGGAGUACCUAAGUCUAUUCUUGCUUCUUUCUGCUCUACAAGAAUGAACCAUCUGACACUUCCAUGUCAUUUGCAUUUCACCAAAGCACUUAUCCAUGUCCAUCAGAAUGGCACCUGCUGGUUUCUCUUUCUCUAAGUGGUAAUGAAGGAACAAAGUCCUGUAAAAAGGUGUGGGUGGGGUUUGCUCCUCACUUGUGGCACCACAGCAUCUUUAACUUAGCUGGGCUUUGAGUAAGUGUUGCCAGUUGUUGGCAGAGUAUCGUUAAUGGUUUAUAAAAUAUUCUUUUAAUUGGUGAAAUGCACCCAGAGGCCUCUUAGGGAAAAGAAGCCAGGGUGUAUUUAUAUGCAAGGAAGCCUAAAAUGGAUACUAUUGAAAAGCAGAAUGUCAGCCAAAAUAUCCCAGUCACUUAUAGCAAAGCACUUUUCAAACACUUUACUGACUCUAAACUUCCUCCCUUGAGUAGGAUAAGGAACUACAUAAAUGACAUUAUUUUUAUUUUUAUUCUGUGGGCUGAGGUUGAUAUGAUUGCUCCCUAGGUCAGCUACAUGCUCGUAGACAAUCACAUUUAAGCAUUUUAAAGAAUUAAUUCCUCCAAAGGAUCAUAGUCAAGCCAAGAUGGAUUAUUUUCAUGAAUAAUUCUUGUGAACUAUGAUAUCAAAUUCUUUACUAAGUUCAGAUAUUAAUCUAAUGCAUUCUACUGUUCUCCCCAGAAUAUGGAAAUUAGAGUCAGUGGUUCAGAAAAUUCCUCAGCAAGGCUGGAGGUCCUUGUGGCUGAAGCCAUGAAAUAUAAUAUCUUUUGCUUUGAGAAUGGAUGGAUCAAUGAAUAAAAAUGGAAUAAGUAUCCCUCAUAUUUUCAAAGGUCCUGGAGGGAUAUGAAGCCUUAUUACAGUGCAUGUGAAUGAAUUUGCUUGCACACAGUCUGCUUAGACAGAUCUGCAUCAAGGCAUAAUGUGAAUGAGAUGUGUUGGAUUUGAACAUCCCAUAAAUCAUCUGGGAUGAUGGCUAAGGCCGUUUCCUUUGGCAGUACCUUCUAAAAUGUAACUGUAGGGAUCACCUCAGUGGAAAGUCCCUGGGUUUAGAAGAAAAUCAGCUGUGAAACAUCCCCAAUCUUACACCAAGCAAGGCCAGGUUAUGCCUGAGAUAUACAUCUAAGUGGGCAGAAGUGGAAGGGCUUUUUUUUUUAAGCUCUGUGAUGUCUGAGGAGUAGAGUUGGGUUCUCUCUGCCAAUUACAAACGUUAGUUUCCCAAAAAUAAAGAGUUUGGGUAGGGAUGCAGGUGAGGGUUCUGCUCCCUGAUGGAAGCAGAACCCUGGUCAGGGUUUGCUAUCAGCAUGUUGCUACUCAAGUUUGUAGAGCCAUCAUCAGAACCAUAUUUGCAAACUGCGCCAGCAGGACCAGACUCCACUCUGCUGGAUGUUCUCUAAAAAGAGACUGAAAACCACCCUGUAGUCCACAAGGAUCAGCCAGGGAAUGCAACUAGUUCCAGAACAAACUUGAUCAGAAUUAGCUGGAAACCUGACUGCAGGGUCUCUCAACCUCUUGCCCCUCCCUC